rnacentral:SRP_RNA from 1 species
CCGUGCUAGACGGGGAGGUAGCGGUGCCCUGUACCCACAAUCUGCUAUAGUGGGGUCGAAUUUCUUUAGUGACACGG